rnacentral:rRNA from 1 species
AGCAGCCGCGGUAAUUCCAGCUCCAAUAGCGUAUAUUAAAGUUGUUGCAGUUAAAAAGCUCGUAGUUGAAUUUCGGGAUCAAUAUGUCGGUCGUGCCUUGGUACGUACUGGUAUCAUUGGUCUCUCCUUUCUGACGAACCAUGAUGUCAUUAAUUUGGUGUUAUGGGAAGUUAGGACUGCUACUUUGAAAAAAUUAGAGUGUUUAAAGCAGGCUCACGCUUGAAUACAUUAGCAUGGAAUAAUGAAAUAGGACGUUUGAUUCUAUUUUGUUGGUUUCUAGGAUCGACGUAAUGAUUAAUAGGGAUAGUUGGGGGCAUUAGUAUUCAAUUGUCAGAGGUGAAAUUCUUGGAUUUAUUGAAGACUAACUACUGCGAAAGCAUUUGCCAAGGAUGUUUUCAUUAAUCAAGACGAAAGUUAGGGGAUCGAAGACGAUCAGAUACCGUCGUAGUCUUAACAUAAACUAUGCCGACUAGGGAUCGGAUGAUGUUAAUUUUUUAAUGACUCAUUCGGUCG